rfam:Myotis brandtii contig281458, whole genome shotgun sequence.
GGUGGUUCUCGGGUGAUGAACCCAGAAUCGGACUCCCUCCUCUCUGGUUCUGGGUGCGUCACCUGAGAACCGCA